UGAGUAAGUUAGUGACCUACUAACAAGUUCACAGUCCCUUAACUAAAACCUUUGGGGCUAGCACCCCAUAAUCAACGCAUUCAAAUUUCUAGUGCAAAAUAAUGAAUCUUCACUAAUUGAAAACCAAAAUUAGCCUCUUGUCAGUUUUGGUCAGUUUUUGCUGCUACACAUGAAGCAAGCUUAGUAAAAAGUGAGUAUUUCAAGGGCUUGUGAACUUCUGUCUAUAUUUCAGUGGCGAUGAGAAACAUUAGCUUUGGUUCUAGGAUGUAACUCAGAGUAGUUUUGGAUGACUUAACGCUUUGAGAAUGUAGCAUGGUGUCUGCCAUGUUGUUUUGUCUUGCAGUGCCAGUGGUGGUGUGCACCUUGAGCCCCGGUAUAGACAGUUCCCCCAGCUGACCAGAUCCCAGGUGUUCCAGAGCGAGUUCUUCAGCGGACUCAUGUGGUUCUGGAUUCUCUGGCGCUUUUGGCAUGACUCAGAAGAGGUGCUGGGUCACUUCCCGUAUCCUGAUCCUUCCAAGUGGACAGAUGAAGAAUUAGGUAUCCCUCCUGAUGAUGAAGACUGAAGGUGUAGACUCAGCCUCACUCUGUACAAGAGCCAGGUGAGAAUUUCAAGGAUUAUCGACUUCGUAUUGCACCUUAAAGUUACAAAUUAAAGUGGCUUGGUC
rnacentral:sRNA from 1 species